GAAGUACCUUUCUCGGCACUUGAGGAUGUCAACUGACCAGCUCUCGUAUUUCAUGUCAUAAUAAUAGUCACACUAGGGUGAUAUAACGAGGAGAGAGUUAUAUCAUCCUAGCGCGAUUGUUUUUAUGACAUGAAAUACGUUUUAGAACUUAAAACACUUUGACCUUCUUAAGUGCUGAUAAUGUUUCUUAA
rfam:Arabidopsis lyrata subsp. lyrata unplaced genomic scaffold ARALYscaffold_3, whole genome shotgun sequence.